rnacentral:rRNA from 1 species
AAAUUGAAGAGUUUGAUCAUGGCUCAGAUUGAACGUUGGCGGCAGGCCUUAGACAUGCAAGUCGAACGGUAACAGCAGAGCUUGCUCUGGCUGACGAGUGGCGGACGGGUGAGUAAC